CCAAUAUCUGCCAUGGAGCCAAACGAUGGACUGAUGGCACAGACGUCACGUAUUUUCCAUCCCUGGUGCAGAGAAACACCAUGGUGGGAGAGACACUAAACAAACACACGUGUGCACGUCCAUGCCUGGCAGAGAUUUGACUAAGGCACCAAAGCAAUUAAACAAGGAAAGGAAGCUUGCACACCCGCCUUACCUAGCAUGGAGGCGAUGGGGGCAUUCGCUGGCCGUGGAGAGCCACACGCCAAGGAGCAAGGGAGGAACAAGACUUUCUGCUGGUCCCUGCAGUGGGAACUUCAAGCCUCCACUAUCCUCUUCCGGAAAGCAGAAGGUCUGAGAGCGGCUGGCCUCAGACUUGCACAAAGAAGGGUGUGGAAGGCUGAGCAAGGGCCACCUCCCAGCUGACCGAGCCGGCGCAGGGCCUGGUGCGGCUCCAGGGACAAGGUCAGGUCAAGUCCCAGCAGAGUGGACUUCAACGAAAUGCCCUGUGUCCUUCCCGUGAGCGCCGAGAGAAUCGGGAGAAUCGACCCUUUUACUUCACAGGGCCUGGGACGGUUUUACUGUCUACGAUGCCAGGGGGGCACCCUGACCCCCAUGCUUGCCAUUAGGGCCCCUUCUGGCUGCCCCACCCCACCCUACCCUAUCCCACCUCCCCACAUAGCGUUUCCCCUCCUCUCCUCCCCAGUGAGAAGCCACAUUUCACAUCUGAGCCUUGUCACCUGCUGAGCCACCUGGUUUCUCCCACUCAGUUAGGGCCCCUGUAGACGGCAGGCCUCUGAGGAUAGAGGACUGCAGCUCUGAUGUGACCCCAAAGGACUCAGCACAAUUCUGGACACACAAAUGGCCCUCCCUAAAUGCCUGCUGACCCACUGGGGCACAAAAACCAGCUUCCUAAAAAAAAAAAAUGUGGGCCUGGAAACCA